rnacentral:rRNA from 1 species
AGCAGCCGCGGUAAUUCCAGCUCCAAUAGCGUAUAUUAAAGUUGUUGCAGUUAAAAAGCUCGUAGUUGAAUUUCGGGAUCAAUUUGCUGGUCGUGCCUCUGGUACGUACUGGUAUUAUUGGUUUCUCCCUUCUGACGAACCAUGAUGUCAUUAAUUUGAUGUCGUGGAGAAUCAGGACUGUUACUUUGAAAAAUUAGAGUGUUUAAAGCAGGCAUUAGCUUGAAUACAUUAGCAUGGAAUAAUGAAAUAGGACGUUUGAUCCUAUUUUGUUGGUUUCUAGGAUUGACGUAAUGAUUAAUAGGGAUAGUUGGGGGCAUUAGUAUUCAAUUGUCAGAGGUGAAAUUCUUGGAUUUAUUGAAGACUAACUACUGCGAAAGCAUUUGCCAAGGAUGUUUUCAUUAAUCAAGAACGAAAGUUAGGGGAUCGAAGACGAUCAGAUACCGUCGUAGUCUUAGCCAUAAACUAUGCCGACUAGGGAUCGGAUG